UCUCCUGUAGUUCAGUUGUAGAGCGUCCGACCAGUGUGCGGAAGGUCAUAUUUUGAUCAUAUGUUCGACUCCUGUUUGGAGAA